GGUGUAUUCUUCGCUUGUUAUAUUCUCACUCUGUUUGUGCCUUGCAUUGGCAUAUAACUUGAACUAUCCCAAAGGAUCAACUAGUCAAGUUACUUGUGAUAAUGGCGAAACUCAGGCAUAUCAACGGAUUGGAGAGAAAUACUACUUCUUAGG